GAGUUUGAUCGUGGCUCAGAUUGAACGCUGGCGGCAGGCCUAACACAUGCAAGUCGAGCGGUAGAGAGAAGCUUGCUUCUCUUGAGAGCGGCGGACGGGUGAGUAAUGCCUAGGAAUCUGCCUGGUAGUGGGGGAUAACGCUCGGAAACGGACGCUAAUACCGCAUACGUCCUACGGGAGAAAGCAGGGGACCUUCGGGCCUUGCGCUAUCAGAUGAGCCUAGGUCGGAUUAGCUAGUUGGUGAGGUAAUGGCUCACCAAGGCGACGAUCCGUAACUGGUCUGAGAGGAUGAUCAGUCACACUGGAACUGAGACACGGUCCAGACUCCUACGGGAGGCAGCAGUGGGGAAUAUUGGACAAUGGGCGAAAGCCUGAUCCAGCCAUGCCGCGUGUGUGAAGAAGGUCUUCGGAUUGUAAAGCACUUUAAGUUGGAGGAAGGGCAGUAAUUAAUACUUUGACUGUUUUGACGUUACCGACUAGAAUAAGCACCGGCUAACUCUGUGCCAGCCGCCGG
rnacentral:rRNA from 1 species